CAAUUUAUCAACAGUUUCCAUAUGGUAAGUGUUUGCUGUGACCUGUAUUUAAGAAAUUGUCCUCUUCCCGCAAGGUCAUGAAGAUAUUUUGUAUUAUAAAU